UACGUAGGCAGCGAGCGUUGUUCGGAGUUACUGGGCGUAAAGAGUGCGUAGGCGGUGCUCUAAGUUUGGUGUGAAAUCUCCCGGCUCAACUGGGAGGGUGCGCCGAAAACUGGAGUGCUCGAGUAUGGGAGAGGUAAGCGGAAUUCCUGGUGUAGCGGUGAAAUGCGUAGAUAUCAGGAGGAACACCUGUGGCGAAAGCGGCGCACUGGACCACUUCUGACGCUGAGGCGCGAAAGCGUGGGGAGCAAACAGG
rnacentral:rRNA from 1 species